GAUCCGGGCGGUUCCCCCUUCGGGGGACAGGGUGACAGGUGGUGCAUGGUUGUCGUCAGCUCGUGUCGUGAGAUGUUGGGUUAAGUCCCGCAACGAGCGCAACCCUCGACCUUAGUUGCCAGCAUUCAGUUGGGCACUCUAAGGUGACUGCCGGCUAAAAGUCGGAGGAAGGUGGGGAUGACGUCAAAUCAUCAUGCCCCUUAUGACCUGGGCUACACACGUGCUACAAUGGGCGGUACAAAGGGUCGCGAACCCGCGAGGGGGAGCCAAUCCCAAAAAGCCGCUCUCAGUUCGGAUUGCAGGCUGCAACUCGCCUGCAUGAAGCCGGAAUCGCUAGUAAUCGCGGAUCAGCAUGCCGCGGUGAAUACGUUCCCGGGCCUU
rnacentral:rRNA from 1 species